rnacentral:rRNA from 1 species
AAUGAACGCUGGCGGCAUGCCUAACACAUGCAAGUCGAACGGCCGCAUGACCUGCCUUCCUAGGUUGAUGGCGCGUCGCGCGCGGGAGAAUCAUGCGUCGAACCUUCCUUUUUGAUUGGGAUUACCGUGGCGAAAGUUACGCUAAUACCGCAGAUUCUCUGAGCAGGAUGGCACAGGACCUUAGGGCGUUCUGCUAGAAAAUCGGCCAUGGAUGGAUUAGCUAGUUGGUGAGGUAAAGGCUCACCAAGGCAACGAUCCGUAGCGGGUCUGAGAGGAUGAUCCGCCACACUGGGACUGAGACACGGCCCAGACUCCUACGGGAGGCAGCAGUGGGGAAUCUUGGACAAUGGGCGAAAGCCUGACGCAGCCAUGCCGCGUGAGUGAAGAAGGUCUUCGGGUUGUAAAGCUCUUUUGGUAGGGAAGAAAAUGUGCCCUAUAAAACAGGGUGUGGAUGACGGUACCAGAAGAAGAAGCAACGGCUAACUACGUG